GACGAACGCUGGCGGCGUGCCUAACACAUGCAAGUCGAACGAGGUCCAUGCAGUGGCAACACUGCGGAAGACCUAGUGGCGAACGGGUGAGUAACACGUGAGGAACCUGCCCCGAAGACCGGGAUAACCCUCCGAAAGGAGAGCUAAUACCGGAUACCCCCACCGGAUCGCAUGAUCUGGUGAGGAAAUGGAUUCCGCUUCGGGAGGGCCUCGGGGCCUAUCAGCUAGUGGGUGGGGUAACGGCCCACCAAGGCGACGAUACAUCGCCGACCUGAGAGGGUGAGCGACCACACUGGGACUGAGACACGGCCCAGACUCCUACGGGAGGCAGCAGUAGGGAAUCUUCGGCAAUGGGGGCAACCCUGACCGAGCAACGCCGCGCGAGUGAAGAAGGUUUUCGGAUCGUAAAGCUCUGUUGUAAGAGAAGAACGUGUGUGAGAGUGGAAAGUUCACACAGUGACGGUAACUUACCAGAAAGGGACGGCUAACUACGUGCCAGCCGCCGCGGUAAAAC
rnacentral:rRNA from 1 species